ACUCUCUCUCUCUCUUUCUCUCUCUCUCCCCAAAACCUACUCAUUUACCGACGACGAUCUACACAGUGAUGAUCUACACGAUCUACGAUAAGCGACGGACGAUCUACAUGAGCGACGAUCUACAUGAUCUACGACAAGUGAUAGACAAUCUACACGAUCUACACGAAGAAGCUCCCGAGAGCGACGAUCUAUAGUGACCGACAAUUUACACGAUCUCUACGAGGCCGCUAUUACUGAAAAAGAAGAAGCUCCCGUUGUUGUUGUGUCGGAAUCAAGUUCAUGCUCAAGUCUAAGUCUGGAGAGUAGUUUUAUUGAAAUUUAAUAUCAUUGGUUUAGAUGGCAUAUGGUUUGGCUCAAGGAAAUGAAUGGCUUUAUUGCUUCUUUUUAAGUUAUUUUCAAAAUAUGACUAUUGGUUGAAACUUUUUUGGAUGACUGUAAUAUUUUAUUUUGGAUAAUUGUAUUACGACAUUUUAAAUUUUUUGGAUGACUAUAAUAUUUUAUUUUAGAUGAUUGUAAUACUUUAUUUUGGAUGGUUGUAUGUUGAAAAUUUGACCACUGCACAGUUUACUAGCCUAAUGCCAAAAAUUUGACCAUUGUAUGUCGAAAAUUUGACCACUACACUAAUUUUUUGAGGUCAUGGGUUGGUUUUAUUUUAUAAUCUUUUGGUAGUUUAUAUAUGAAUUGCACAUAGGUGAUGAUUGAGGAAGGAAGUGCACAUGUUUUUUUUUUUUUUUUUU